UACGAAGGGGGCUAGCGUUGCUCGGAAUCACUGGGCGUAAAGCGCACGUAGGCGGAUUCUUAAGUCAGGGGUGAAAUCCUGGAGCUCAACUCCAGAACUGCCUUUGAUACUGAGGGUCUUGAGUUCGGGAGAGGUGAGUGGAACUGUGAGUGUAGAGGUGAAAUUCGUAGAUAUUCGCAAGAACACCAGUGGCGAAGGCGGCUCACUGGCCCGAUACUGACGCUGAGGUGCGAAAGCGUGGGGAGCAAACAGG
rnacentral:rRNA from 1 species